CCUGAUAACAAAAAUAUCAGUUUACCCCGAGACGAGAAGAUCGUAAUAUUAUCCUCCAGUUUAAUCGACAUUAUGAAGGUUUUUAUUCUAGCUUUUUUGGUAUUAUUAUGUGCUGUUGCCGUCUAUGGAGCUUCCACUUACAGAGAGGAUGAAAAACGUCAUAUAAUUCUCAGUAAUGACCCGGAAUGUCCCCAACAGGGAAGUGAAUGCAGCAUGAUGCAUCGUUGCUGUGGAGAUUUAGAUUGCCAUUAUAAAACAUUCUUUACGACGAAAGGAAUUUGUGUGGAGGUUCUAACAGCUCCCGAUGUUGUAUUUGGUGACAGCGCAUUUUCAAAAUAAAUCCAUGACGAUCGACCGUAAACCACGGAUAGCAAUAAUUUAUUUUAAAGUUUUUGAGAAAUACAAAAAUGUCAUUAGUA